GAUGAACGCUAGCGGUAUGCUUAACACAUGCAAGUCGUACGGAAAAGAAAUUUUUAGUGCCGGACGGGUGAGUAACGCGUGAGAAUAUGCCUUUAGGAAGAGGAUAACAUUUAGAAAUAAUUGCUAAAACUCUAUAUGCCGUUUGGUGAACAAAGUAAUUUGCCUAAAGAGAAGCUCGCGUCUGAUUAGCUAGUUGGUGGGGUAAAGGCCUACCAAGGCGACGAUCAGUAGCUGGUCUGAGAGGAGGAACAGCCACACUGGAAAUGAGACACGGUCCUGGCUACUACGGGGGGCAGGAGUGAGGAAUUUUCUGCGAUGGGCGAAAGCCUGACAAAGCAAUACCGCUUGAGAGAUGAAGGCCUACGGGUUGUAAACCUCUUUUCUCAAGGAGGAAGAUCUGACGUUACUUGAGGAAUAAGCAUCGGCUAACCCUGUGCCAGCCGUCGCAGUAACAC
rnacentral:rRNA from 1 species